rnacentral:rRNA from 1 species
UACGGGGGGGGGCAAGCGUUGUUCGGAAUUACUGGGCGUAAAGGGCUCGUAGGCGGCCAACUAAGUCAGACGUGAAAUCCCUCGGCUUAACCGGGGAACGGCCUCUGAUACUGGCUGGCUGGAGUUCGGGAGAGGGAUGCGGAAUUCCAGGUGUAGCGGUGAAAUGCGUAGAUAUCGGGAGGAAUACCAGUGGCGCAAGCGGCGCCCUGGCCGUGACCUGACACUGAGCCACGACGGCGUGGGGAGCAAACGGG